rnacentral:rRNA from 1 species
GACGACCGCUGGCGGCGUGCCUAAUACAUGCAAGUCGAACGCAGUGGGGACGGGUGAGUACCAAGUGGGUAACCUCCCAUCAGAGGGGAUAACACUUGGAAACCGGUGCUAAACCGAUACUGAUGGAUGGACCCGCGGUGCAUUAGCUGUUUGGUGAGGAAACGGCUCACCAAGGCGACGAUGCAUAGCCGACCUGAGAGGGGGAUCAACCCAACUGGGACUGAGACACGGCCCAGACUCAGACAUGACUCAACGUUAAAUAAUCUUCUGCAAUGGACGAAAGUCUGACCGAGCAACGCCGCGUGAGUGAAGAAGUUUUUCGGAUCAUAAAACUCUGUUGUUAGAGAAGCGGUAUCUAACCAGAAAGCCACGGCUAACUACGUGCCAGCAGCCGCGGUAAUUC